rnacentral:rRNA from 1 species
AACCAACAGGGAUUGCCUUAGUAACGGCGAGUGAAGCGGCAACAGCUCAAAUUUGAAAGCUGGCUCCUUUGGAGUCCGCGUUGUAAUUUGUAGAGGAUGAUUCGGCAAGGGCUCCCGCCUAAGUCUCCUGGAACGGAGCGUCAUAGAGGGUGAGAAUCCCGUAUGCGGUGGGCUGCCUAAGCCAUGUGAAUCUCCUUCGACGAGUCGAGUUGUUUGGGAAUGCAGCUCUAAAUGGGAGGUAAAUUUCUUCUAAAGCUAAAUACCGGCCAGAGACCGAUAGCGCACAAGUAGAGUGAUCGAAAGAUGAAAAGCACUUUGGAAAGAGAGUUAAAAAGUACGUGAAAUUGUUGAAAGGGAAGCGCUUGCAGCCAGACUUGUCCGCAGUUGCUCAGCCGGUCUCCUGACCGGUGUACUCUUCUGCGGCCAGGCCAGCAUCAGUUCGGGCGGUCGGAUAAAGACCUCGGGAAUGUAGCUCCUCUCGGGGAGUGUUAUAGCCCGGGGUGGAAUGCGGCCAGCCUGGACUGAGGAUCUCGCUUCGGCUAGGAUGCUGGCGUAAUGGCUGUAAGCGGCCCGUCUUGAAACACGGACCAAGGAGUCUAACAUCUAUGCGAGUGUUUGGGUGUCAAACCCAUGCGCGUAAUGAAAGUGAACGGAGGUGGGAACCCUCACGGGUGCACCAUCGACCGAUCCUGAUGUCUUCGGAUGGAUUUGAGUAAGAGCAUAGCUGUUGGGACCCGAAAGAUGGUGAACUAUGCCUGAAUAGGGUGAAGCCAGAGGAAACUCUGGUGGAGGCUCGCAGCGGUUCUGACGUGCAAAUCGAUCGUCAAAUUUGGGUAUAGGGGCGAAAGACUAAUCGA